rfam:Gorilla gorilla gorilla genomic chromosome, chrX, whole genome shotgun sequence
GCUGGGUGUGGUGAUGCACGCCUGUAGUUUUAAAUAUUCCAGAGGCUGAGGAGGGAGGAUCGCUUGAGCCCAGGAGUUCAAGGCUGCAGUGAGCUGAUUGCACCACUGCACUCCAGCCUGGGCAACAGAGUGAGACCCUGUCUCUU